CCGACCCCGCCUUCUUCCGCCGCGGGCUCUGCAUGGCCGGGAUCCCCACGCUUUUCUGAGCGCAGCCCUAUAUCGAAGUUCCCGCACGUGGGAGGCCCGGCCGGACCUUGAGCGCGAUGCCGCGCGCGCCCCGUUGCCGGGCCGUGCGCUCUCUGUUGCGCAGCCAAUACCGCGAGGUCCUGCCGCUGGCAGUCUUCUUGCGGCGCCUGGGGCUUGAGGGCAGUAAACUUGUACAACCCGGGGACCCAAAGGCCUUCUGCACGUUGGUGGCCCACUGCCUAGUGUGUGUGCCUUGGGGCUCGCAGCCUCCACCUGCUGGCCUUUCCUUCCACCAGGUGUCGUCCCUAAAGGAGCUGGUGGCCAGAGUCGUGCAGAGACUCUGCGAGAAAGGCGAGAGGAACGUGCUGGCUUUUGGCUUCGCACUGCUUAACGGGCCCCAAGGCGGGCCUCCCAUGGCUUUCACAACCAGCGUGCGCAGCUACUCGCCCAACUCGGUAACUGAUAGUCUGCGCGUCAGUGGUGCAUGGAUGCUUCUGCUGAGCCGAGUGGGCGACGACCUACUGGUCUACCUGCUGGCGCGCUGUGCACUCUACCUGCUGGUGGCCCCGAGCUGUGCCUAUCAGGUGUGCGGCCCACCUCUGUACCAAGUCUCUGCCACUGCGAAUACCAGGCUUGCUGUGCCCCUCAGCUACAGGCCCACGCGACCAGUGGGUAGGAAUUUUACUAAUCUUGGAUCCACACACCGGGUCAGGAACAGCAGUCACCAGGAAGCAUGGAAACCUCUGGUCUUGCCAUCUCGAGGUGCGAAACGGCAUCUCAGCAUCACUGAUAAAAGUGUGCCUUCAUCUAAGAAGGCCAGGCGUGAUCAGGCCCUGAGACUGGAGAAGGGACCUGACGACAGGCAGGCAGUUCCAACCCCAUCAGACCCAAGUUCUGCUGAGACCCCCACGGUGCCUACUAGUAGAGCUACCAAGGAAGACUUGUCUUCCAGAGGAAAGGCGCCUGGCCUGAGUCUCUCUGGGUCGGUGUGCUCUAAGCACAAGCCCAGUUCCACAUCCCAGCAGUCACCACUAUGCCAAGAAGCCUUUCAGCUCAGACCAUUUACUGAGACCAAACGCUUCCUCUACUCCAGGGGAGGUUACCGAAAGAGGCUGCACCGCUCGUUUCUACUCAACAACCUCCAGCCAAGCUUGACUGGGGCCAGGAAACUGGUGGAGAUCAUCUUUCUAGGUGUGAGGCCUGGACCACUCUGUGGGACACGCCGCCUCUCCAGGCGCUAUUGGCAGAUGCGACCCAUAUUCCAGCAGCUGCUUGUGAACCAUACAAGGUGCUCAUAUGUCAAACUCCUCAAGUCACAUUGCAGGUUUCGGGCAGCAACCGACCAGGUGGCAGAUGCCUUGGACACCAGCCCAUCGCACCUCAUUGAUUUGCUCCGCCUGCACAACAGUCCCUGGCAGGUAUAUGGUUUCCUGCGGGCCUGUAUCCGAAAGCUGGUGCCUCCAGGUCUCUGGGGUACCAGGCACAACGAGCGCCGCUUCUUUAAGAACGUGAAGCAGUUCAUCUCCUUGGGGAAGUAUGGCAAGCUCUCACUGCAGGAGCUGAUGUGGAAGAUGAGAGUCGAGGACUGCCUCUGGCUUCGCAGCAGUCCAGGAAAGAGCCGUGUCCCAGCUGAAGAGCACCGUAUGAGGGAAAGGAUCCUGGCUACGUUCCUGUUCUGGCUGAUGGACACAUAUGUGGUAGAGCUGCUUAGGUCAUUCUUUUACAUCACAGAGACCACAUUCCAGAAGAACCAGCUCUUCUUCUACCGUAAGAGUGUGUGGAGCAAGCUGCAGAGCAUUGGAGUCAGGCAACACCUUGAGAGAGUCCAGCUGCGGGAGCUGUCGCAAGAGGAGGUCAGGCGGCACCAGGAGGCCUGGCCAGCCAUGCCCAUCUGCAGACUGCGUUUCAUCCCCAAGCCCAGUGGUCUCCGGCCCAUUGUGAACAUGAGUUUUAGCAUGGGCACCAGAGCCUUUGGCAAAGAGAAGCAGGCCCAGCAUUUCAGCAAACGUCUCAAGACUCUGUUCAGCGUGCUCAACUAUGAACGGAAAAAACAUCCUAACCUUCUGGGGGCUUCUGUACUGGGCUUGAAUGACAUCUACAGGACCUGGCGGACAUUCGUGCUGCGUGUGCGUGCUCUGGACCCGGCACCCAGGAUGUACUUUGUUAAGGCAGAUGUGACUGGUGCAUAUGACGCCAUCCCCCAGGACAAGCUUGUGGAGGUUGUUGGCAAUAUGAUCAGACACUCAAAGAACACAUACUGUAUCCGCCAGUAUGCAGUGGUCCGAAAAGGUUGCCAAGGCCAAGUCUACAAGUCCUUUAGGAAACAGGUGUCCACCCUCUCCGACCUCCAGCCAUACAUGGGCCAGUUCGUGAAACACCUGCAGAACUCGGAUGGCAGCGUGCUGCGGAACUCCGUUGUCGUCGAGCAGAGCUUCUCUUGGAACGAGGCCAGCAGCAGCCUGUUUGACUUCUUCCUGCACUUUAUGCGUAACAAUGUCGUGAAGAUUGGUGGCAAGUGCUAUGUCCAGCACCAGGGCAUCCCCCAGGGCUCCAGCCUGUCCACCCUGCUCUGCAGUCUGUGUUUCGGAGACAUGGAGAACAAGCUGUUUGCCGAGGUGCAGCAGGAUGGGCUGCUUUUACGUCUUGUUGAUGACUUUCUGUUGGUGACGCCUCACCUGGACCAGGCGAAAUCCUUCCUCAGGGCCCUGGUCCAUGGCAUUCCUGAGUACGGCUGCAUGAUAAACCUGCAGAAGACAAUGGUGAACUUCCCUGUGGACAGUGGUACCCUGGAUGGUGCAGCCCCACACCAGCUGCCUGCUCACUGCCUGUUUCCCUGGUGUGGCAUAUUGCUGGACACUCAGACUCUGGAGGUGUUCUAUGACUACUCUGGUUACUCCCGGACCUCAAUUAAGGCCAGCCUCACCUUCCAGCGUGUCUCCAAGGCUGGGAGGAGAAUGCGACAGAAGCUCUUAGCUCUUUUGCGGUUGAAGUGUCACGGUCUGUUUCUAGACUUGCAGGUGAACAGCCUCCAGACGGUCUGCAUCAAUGUGUACAAGAUCUUCCUGCUUCAGGCCUAUAGGAAUGACACUAAGGAUCAAGGGAGCCUCUGGCUUAUUUCCUCCUGAAGCUGCUCAUUGGCUCUGCUACAGAGCUUUCCUGCGCAAGCUGGCUGGUCAUUCUGUCAUCUACAAGCGUCUCCUGGGAACUCUCAGGACAAUUCCAGGAACCCUCCCCUGCUUCUCUUUGGUACCGCGGCUAAGAUGAAGAACACUGCAAGAGGCCAGGUGCCUCUCUCUGAACAAAUCUGUCCAGAUGGCUCUGGGCUCAGCAGGUAGUCAGAAGCCAAGAGCUAAAGGACUGGCUUUCAAAUGUGCCCUUCAGGGGAGAGACCUGAGGUAUGUGCUCUGCAGCUCCACCUGCGUCUGCCCAGUGCCACACAUGGAACCUCCAAGUUCCCCGUGGGUUCUCACCUGUUCUGUUGAGAUCCAAUGGGCAAGUGCUCCAGGGCAGCGGGUAUUGGAAGGAGUUGAGGAAGAACCAUAGGACCCACAGAAGAACGGUGUUGUAGUACAGGCUGACCAGGAAGGACACUGAGAAACAGCCCAGGCCUGCAGACACAGUAAUUCACCCAGGGCCAGGCAGAGAAUAAAAUGGAAUCCUCCCCUUAAACGUGACCUGCCACAGCAGCUUCUGUGUCUUUUUAACAAUUGUUGCCCUGUUUUCCUAUGCCUGCCAUGUCCCUCACCAUAAGUGUGCCCCACCCCCCAAUUAAGAGGUCCCCAAGGAGCCUGAGCGGUGGCUGAGUAGGGCUGGGAAGGGAGCAUACCUACUCCACCAAGGUAGGGGGAAAUGGUCUUCCACACUCCAAUGCUGCCCCUUCGUAGGCGCUGGCCGAUGGCAAGCUCGAUGUAGAAGAGUGGGAUCCCCUCAAAGACCAGAGCGAUGAAAUAGGGAAUGAGGAAGGCCCCUGUAAGGACGGGUGAGCAGAUAGCCCCAGAUGCCUGCAGCUGACCAGU